GAGUUUGAUCCUGGCUCAGGAUGAACGCUGGCGGCGUGCUUAACACAUGCAAGUCGAACGAAGCACUUUAUUUGAUUUCCUUCGGGACUGAUUAUUUUGUGACUGAGUGGCGGACGGGUGAGUAACGCGUGGGUAACCUGCCUUGUACAGGGGGAUAACAGUUGGAAACGGCUGCUAAUACCGCAUAAGCGCACAGCAUCGCAUGAUGCAGUGUGAAAAACUCCGGUGGUAUAAGAUGGACCCGCGUUGGAUUAGCUAGUUGGUGAGGUAACGGCCCACCAAGGCGACGAUCCAUAGCCGACCUGAGAGGGUGACCGGCCACAUUGGGACUGAGACACGGCCCAGACUCCUACGGGAGGCAGCAGUGGGGAAUAUUGCACAAUGGGGGAAACCCUGAUGCAGCGACGCCGCGUGGAGGAAGAAGGUCUUCGGAUUGUAAACUCCUGUUGUUGAGGAAGAUAAUGACGGUACUCAACAAGGAAGUGACGGCUAACUACGUGCCAGCCGCCGCGGUAAUAC
rnacentral:rRNA from 1 species